UCCCGCCGGACCUGACUGCUAUCGGAACGGGAUUUANCCNUGCGAGUCUGCCAGUCUAAGCAUGUUGGCUGGCGGCGAACGGCUCAGUAACACGUAGUCAAUCUGCCCUCGGGACGAGAACAAUCUCGGGAAACUGAGGCUAAUUCUCGAUAGAUCAAGAUUCCUGGAAUGGGUUUUGGUUCAAAGGCGACAGCAGCAUCUUGCUGUUUCGCCCGAGGAUGAGACUGCGGCCGAUCAGGCUGUUGGUGGGGUAAAGGCCCACCAAACCAGUAACCGGUACGGGCUUUGAGAGAAGGAGCCCGGAGAUGGACACUGAGACAAGGGUCCAGGUCCUACGGGGCGCAGCAGGCGCGAAACCUUCGCAAUGCGCGCAAGCGCGACGAGGUUAUUCCGAGUGAUUCCCGCU
rnacentral:rRNA from 1 species